rnacentral:rRNA from 1 species
UAAGGAAUAUUGGACAAUGGAGGCAACUCUGAUCCAGCCAUGCCGCGUGCAGGAAGAAGGUCCUACGGAUUGUAAACUGCUUUUGUACGGGAGAAAACCCUUCUACGUGUAGGAGGCUGAUAGUACCGUAAGAAUAAGCAUCGGCUAACUUCGUGCCAGCAGCCGCGGUAAGACGAAGGAUGCAAGCGUUAUCCGGAUUCAUUGGGUUUAAAGGGUGCGUAGGCGGAUUUAUAAGUCAGUGGUGAAAUCCCUCAGCUUAACUGAGGAACUGCCAUUGAUACUGUAGAUCUUGAGUACAGAUGAUGUUGGCGGAAUAUGACAUGUAGCGGUGAAAUGCAUAGAUAUGUCAUAGAACACCGAUUGCGAAGGCAGCUGACAAAACUGUAACUGACGCUGAGGC